GAUGAAGAACGCAGCGAAAUGCGAUAAGUAAUGUGAAUUGCAGAAUUCAGUGAAUCAUCGAAUCUUUGAACGCACAUUGCGCCCGCUAGUAUUCUGGCGGGCAUGCCUGUUCGAGCGUCAUUUCAACCAUCAAGCCCUGUUUAGGCUUGUGUUGGGGCCCUGCGGUUGCCGCAGCCCCCUAAAUGCAGUGGCGGGCUCGCUAUCACACCGAGUGCAGUAGAUUACUCUUCGCUCAGGGCGUGCAGCGGGUUCCGGCCGUGAAACCCCCUACUUUUAAAGGUUGACCUCGGAUCAGGUAGGAAUACCCACUGAACUUAAGCAUAUCAAUAAGCGGAGGA
rnacentral:misc_RNA from 1 species